rnacentral:rRNA from 1 species
AUACGGAGGACGCGAGCGUUAUCCGGAUUCAUUGGGUUUAAAGGGUGCGCAGGCGGCCGUGCAAGUCAGCGGUGAAAGCCCGGGGCUCAACCCCGGAAGUGCCGUUGAUACUGCAUGGCUGGAAUGCGGUCGAGGCGGGCGGAACGUGGCGUGUGGCGGUGAAAAGCGUAGAUAUGCCACAGAACGCCGAUAGCGGAGGCAGCUCGCCAGGCCUGCAUUGACGCUCGGGCACGAAAGCGUGGGGAUCGAACAGGAUUAGAUACCCUGGUAGUCCACGCCGUAAACGAUGGGCGCUCGUCGUCGGCGGCAGACAGUCGGCGGCCAAGCGAAAGCGAUAAGCGCCCCACCUGGGGAGUACGGUCGCAAGGCUGAAACUCAAAUGAAUUGACGGGG